rnacentral:rRNA from 1 species
AACGAACGCUGGCGGCGUGCCUAACACAUGCAAGUCGAACGAGAAAAGGGCAUCAGCUCCGUGUUAAGUGGCGCAAGGGUGAGUAACACGAGGGAAACCUGCCUAUCAGCUUGGGAUAACUCGUCGAAAGAUGAACUAAUACCGUAUAAGACCACAGUUCCUGCGGGAACAGGGAUCAAAGGUAGCCACUGCUUGCGAGCUAUCAAUUCGAUAUGGGCUUGCGGACCUUUAGCUAGGUGGUAGGGUCACGGCCUACCAACGGAAAGAUGGUUAGCUGGUCUUGGAGGAAGGUCAACCAAAAUUGGACUGAGACACCGGUCAGGACUCUAACGGGAGCAGGAGUUGGGAAUUUUGCGCAAUAGGCGGAAGCUUUACUCAGGAAAGCCGGGUUGGUGGUGGAAGCCCUCGGGUUGUAAAAGUCUGUCUGUUGGGAAGGAUGAUCCGGAGGUUAACAGCCUCGUGUUGUGACGGUACCUACAAAAUAAGCACCGGCUAACUCUGUG